GACGAACGCUGGCGGCGUGCUUAACACAUGCAAGUCGAACGGAAAGGCCCUGCUUUUGUGGGGUGCUCGAUUGGCGAACGGGGGAGUAACACGUGAGUAACCUGCCCUUGACUUUGGGAUAACUUCAGGAAACUGGGGCUAAUACCGGAUAGGAGCUCCUGCAGCAUGGUGGGGGAUGGAAAGAUUCGGCGGUUGGGGAUGGACUCGCGGCUUAUCAGCUUGUUGGUGGGGUAGUGGCUUACCAAGGCUUUGACGGGUAGCCGGCCUGAGAGGGUGACCGGCCACAUGAGGACUGCGAUACGGCGCAGAAUGCUACGGGAGGCAGCAGGGGGGAAUAUUGCGCAAUGGGCGGAAGCGUGAUGCAGCAACGCCGCGUGCGGGAUGACGGGCUUCGAGUUGUAAACCGAUUUCGCCUGUGACGAAGAGUGAGUGACGGUAAUGGGUAAGAAAGCACCGGCUAACUACGUG
rnacentral:rRNA from 1 species